AAGAUUUGAAUAAUGCAUCUGACGUGUGUGUGAUGACGUCACGACGCACGUAUUUUGAUUUUUACCAGUCGUUCAAGGCGGACGGAUUCAGUCCCAAGAAGCUAAAGUUUUUCAAAGACAUUUGUAGGGAGGACUUUGCAGCUAAUGAUUUCCUUAGGCUGAACCAAAACCUGCCAGACUAAAGUUGAUUUGGGAGAGAAAGACGUUGUAAACUCAAUCAUCUUGACAUUCUUCAAUGAGUAAUUGUUCAAUUUUUAGGCAAAUACUGUACACUUUGAAUGCUGUGAAUAAAACUAUAUUUUAAAUAUAUUUAAACUUAAUUGUUUUUGACUGUUUUAAUCAGCUUUUAUUUAUUUGGAAAAAAAUAUUUUGGUUAUGUUACCAGCUAAAGUAAUCUAUUCCCAAAAUAGCACUCUUUAAGUUAACUAAUUACUAACGCACUUGAAGUAUACUCACUAAUCUAGCUGCAGGUAUGUAAAAGUAUACAAAAUGUAAUGUACUUGGCAUAUUCAUUUUUCACCAGGGCAGUUUUUAUAAUUUUGGAUUGGCCAAAAAUAUAUAGAAUGUACGCAAACAGUCUAUUUAAGGUAUACUGAUUGUAUGUUUGCAAGACACUCAUAAUACAUUUGUAAUGUACUCCUAACAUAAAUAAAACACACUCUAAAUCCACUUAUCAAGCAUGAAUUUAGCACAAAAACAGUCAUGUACUUAAAUUGUACUAAAUACACUUAAAGUUGUUCCACUUUAGCACACAAAAGUACACUAAAUACACUUAAAGUUGUGCUUUGUUACAAUUAAUAUACAACUAAAAUAUAUUAAGUACAAAAUUAGUUGUUCCAAAAUAGCACUCUUUAAAUAAACUAAUCAAUAGCACACUUUAAGUAUACUGGUCAUUAGUGUGACUGCAAGUAUACUUAAGUAUAUCAAAAUUAAAUAUAUUUAGCAUACUAUUUUUUCACCAGGGUUGGCU